rnacentral:rRNA from 1 species
UCACCGAAGGAUGAGUCCGCGUUGCAUCAGCUUGUUGGUGGGGUAAAGGCCUACCAAGGCAAAGACGCAUAGCUGGUCUGAGAGGAUGAUCAGCCACACUGGGACUGAGAUACGGCCCAG